rnacentral:lncRNA from 1 species
ACAAUGUUUUGCCAGGAUGAAUCCUUAAUUUAAUUUACCAUGGGCUCUCUUCUCUUUGUCUCCCUCCAGGGAGAGCUGGGCUUGCCAGGUCCACCUGGGAUGGAUGGUGAAAAGGGUCCCAAAGGAGCAAAGGGUGACCAGGGCAGCAUGGGGACCAUGGGGCAGAAAGGGGAGACAGGAGAAAUGGGCUCAGCAGGUCCCCCGGGAGCAGAAGGGCCAAAAGGAGACAGAGGAGAAAAAGGAGACACUGGGUCACCAUGUCUGCAGAAUAAUCAUAUCAUACCUGAGCCUGGACCUCCUGGAUUACCUGGCCCUAUGGUAGGACUCUGAAGGGAUUCCUGCAGAUUUAUUAUUGUAUGUGAUAAAGGACAAGGGUGGUUUGUUCUGUUUAGUCAUUGUGAACUGUUUUGAAUCUGGGAAAAAAAUCAGGGAAGUGCUACAGUCUGAUCUGUCUUUGGGGAAAUUAAAGCACCCAAUUUAGGAGAGUGC